rnacentral:pre_miRNA from 14 species
UGAGCUGUUGGAUUCGGGGCCGUAACACUGUCUGAGAGGUUUAUAUUUCUCACAGUGAACCGGUCUCUUUUUCAGCUGCUUC